AGCUGCGUGGCGAGCGCAAAGCGAACUAUUCUCUUCGCCUUUUACUAAAGAAUACCGUGCGCACGCCACAUCAAGCAGCAUACCCUAAUUUUUUAAAGGGUGCCUUCUCACAAG
rnacentral:snRNA from 1 species